rnacentral:lncRNA from 1 species
CGCCCGAAUUCCUACAGUUACCGUUCUGCCGCGGAACGAGGCCACGAGAAACCAACUGCCCAACUCAGGGGAAGAACCCAGAUACCAAACCAAGCGAAAAGAACGUAGCUAAAAACAAGUUAUUGUUUCAUGCUUAUAAAAAGGUUCUCAUGCACCAAAAAAAAUAAAAAAAUACACAUUUUCUUUUACAAUAAGCAAUAGUUCUGUUGUUCUAGCACACCCUGCUGUCUAGCUCGUAAUCAUGUAACACGUAUGAUUAAUACUUACGCCACAGUAAAGUGAUGCUUCACUGUUAUCUUCACAGUACUUCAUUACAUAGAAAAGAUACAUUUGAGAACAUAUUUAAUAUUAUUCUAAUUGUUGCUAAAAUACACAACUUAUAAAAGGAUUUCUCUGGAAUCCACGUGUUUACCUCCCCCCGACCCUUACACAAAAUAAAUAAGGAAGUGGAUCUUCGGCCAGUCAGAAAUAUAAGAAAAGCAUUUCUUUUGCAUUUCAAGCUUUUCAGGCUUUAGAACAGAAACCAUAGUGUUUACGUUAGCUCAACAGGACUGAUCUAAAAUGGGUAUGAUUCUGACUAUGAGCUGAUGCAUACAUGCUAUUCCUGGUUACCGUAUGUAGGAGGACCAAUCAAAGAAAUAACACUUUUUUUUUUNNNNUAAAUAUAUAUGUAUGUAUAUAUAUAUAUUAUAUAUAUAUGAGAGAGAGAUGAUAGGACGGGUGUUUAUAUUUUAAAGCCCAAUACAGAACUAGGAGAGCCUCUGCACUAUAUUCCCAUCAAAACACAACUGAAUUAAGUCCAGAAAUGGAUUAUGGCUGAUUCAAAACAGUUAUUAAAAAAGUGUGAUUUUUCUACUGUACCAUAAACUCAUAUUAAUGCUCUGAGCAAUUUAGGAUAUACUCUCCUCCAUCACAAAACUAAACCUUUGCAUUUUCUUCAAGUCAUUUUGCAUCUAAGUAGAAUUUUUGGAAAGCGAGAUAAAAUAGCUAGUGCUUAAUAUAGAAAGUCAAAAAUUAAAUUCCUUCUGCAUCUGAGAAUAUACAUGGGUCACUCUUUGCUGCCUGAGGUUUUCCAGAAUUAUUGACCAAGCCGUGCACAGAUGAACUUAAGGAUACUGGAUGAAAAUUUUUUAAAGAAAGAAAUCUUGAAAAACUCCACUAAAAAUUUCUAACCUCUUUUUUUUUUUUUUUUCAUUUGUUCUCUCUGU